rnacentral:rRNA from 1 species
CAGGUACUAUCAAAUAGAACACCUAUUAGGUGAUCCAUUCUUACUCCCUGCUGACAGGAGUUUACAACCCAAAGGCCGUCUUCCUCCACGCGGCGUCGCAUGUUCACACUUUCGUGCAUUGACAAUGAUUCUC